rnacentral:rRNA from 1 species
UACGUAGGGGGCAAGCGUUGUCCGGAAUCAUUGGGCGUAAAGCGCGUGUAGGCGGCCCGGUAAGUCCGCUGUGAAAGUCGGGGGCUCAACCCUCGGAUGCCGGUGGAUACUGUCGGGCUAGAGUGCGGGAGAGGCGAGUGGAAUUCCUGGUGUAGCGGUGAAAUGCGCAGAUAUCAGGAGGAGCACCAAUUGCGAAGGCAGCUCGCUGGAACGUUACUGACGCUGAGACGCGAAAGCGUGGGGAGCAAACAGG